rnacentral:rRNA from 1 species
AUUAAGCAUAUCAAUAAGCGGAGGAAAAGAAACUAACAAGGAUUCCCCUAGUAACUGCGAGUGAAGCGGGAAAAGCUCAAAUUUAAAAUCUGGCAGCUUUUGUUGCCCGAGUUGUAGUCUAGAGAAGCGUCUUCCGCGUUGGACCGUGUAUAAGUCUCUUGGAACAGAGCGUCAUAGAGGGUGAGAAUCCCGUCUUUAACACGGACUACCAGUGCUUUGUGAUGCGCUCUCAAAGAGUCGAGUUGUUUGGGAAUGCAGCUCAAAAUGGGUGGUAAAUUCCAUCUAAAGCUAAAUAUUGGCGAGAGACCGAUAGCGAACAAGUACCGUGAGGGAAAGAUGAAAAGCACUUUGGAAAGAGAGUUAAACAGUACGUGAAAUUGCUGAAAGGGAAACGCUUGAAGUCAGUCGCGUUAGCUAGAACUCAACCAGGCUUGCUUGGUGCAUUUUCUAGUUUAACGGGCCAGCAUCAGUUUUGGCUGCAGGAUAAAGGUCAGAGAAAUGUGGCAGCUUCGGCUGUGUUAUAGUCUCUGGCUGCAUACUGUGUCCGGGACUGAGGAUCUCAGCACGCAUUUGUUGUUGCUUAGGAUGCUGGCGUAAUGGCUUUAAACGACCCGUCUUGAAACACGGACCAAGGAGUCUAACAAACCUGCGAGUAUUUGGGUGAUUAAACCCGAGUGCGUAAUGAAAGUGAAAGUUGGGAUCCCUGUCGUGGGGAGCACCGACGCCCGGACCAGACCUUCUGUGACGGAUCUGCGGUAGAGCAUGUUUGUUGGGACCCGAAAGAUGGUGAACUAUGCCUGAAUAGGGUGAAGCCAGAGGAAACUCUGGUGGAGGCUCGUAGCGAUUCUGACGUGCAAAUCGAUCGUCAAAUUUGGGUAUAGGGGCGAAAGACUAAUCGAACCAUCUAGUAGCUGGUUCCUGCCGAAUU